AUGAAGAAGCUUCACACCACCACCGCCACCACCACUCUGGCUCUCCUUCUCCUCCUCGUCCUCCUAGCAGCCACGUCCCUCCGUGUCGCCAUGGCUGGAUCAGCGUUUUGCGACAGCAAGUGCGGGGUGAGGUGCUCCAAGGCGAGCCGGCACGACGACUGCCUCAAGUACUGCGGGAUAUGCUGCGCCGAGUGCAACUGCGUGCCGUCGGGGACCGCCGGCAACAAGGACGAGUGCCCGUGCUACCGCGACAAGACCACCGGCCACGGCGCGCGCACGAGGCCCAAGUGCCCAUGA
rnacentral:rRNA from 1 species